AGAUUGAAAGGAAGUGCUGUUUUAUCCAAGUGUUGACUGCUGGUGCCCAAUAUACGGGCCUGGUGGUGCAUCUUGUAAUCCUAUUUUGUUCUUAAAUGUUUUGAGUGUGACAAGGAGGAAGGUGGGAGCAUUAUCUAAGUAACAGUUUAGAAGUUUUGGUAUAUUUGCUGUGGUGUUUGGUCAGUUUCCCAAGUAUCGGGGGAGGGGGGGGGUCUGACUGAUUAUCAAAGCGGUAGAACACAGAGAGUCACUUCUUUGGUGGUUCGGGCUUGAGUCCUGGGAAUUUGGUAAGAAGGGGGAGAGCAAAUUUAUUUAGGCCUCAAUACCUUUUUAAACCCCCAUAUUGAUGGAUCCGUAGGAGUGAUUCCUUGUUUUGUGUGGGCUUACUAACAAAGUGCAUGAGAAAAAUUAGCUUUUGGCUUGAAAUUCGGUCUUGUUGAAAUGUAAAUUUUGUGGAAAAGGUGUUAU